GUUUUACACUCACUGACCGUCUCUCUGAUCCACUUGUUAUUCACAAGCCUCUUUUCUUCUGAACUGCAGAAACCAGCACACAAACUCACAAAGGACGCCAGCAUGAGCAGCUGACCUCCAGCUUUAAACUGAAGACAGCUGCCACAUGGAUGGGUGUAUGGGAUGGUUUCGAUACUUCUUGUUCUCUAUCUGGACCUGCAGUAUUACUAUGAUCUUCCUGCUGAUGCAUCUACAACAGAAGAUAAUGCUGAUAAAGCAGAGGUGUGAGAGAGCACAAAGAACACAAAGGGCAGCCACCAGCACCAAGCAACAAGACAGCGAUAUGAUAUAUGAAAACAUAUCAGAGAAAUAACAUUGCAUACCCUAGAUGGAGAUCAGAGGAUCUUUCCCUACUUCGAAAAGUUCCAGGGCUGGCGCUAACCUAGUUGCUUUAGGUGUCACUUUAUCUUGGUUAUUAUACUGCAGCGAGUCACACUGAAGCAUGCUGAAUUUCCAAAGUAUGUAUGCAUUUAUUUUUGGUUCCAUUCGAGCUGAACUCAACGUAGAGUAAAAUGAGUGGAAGGUGAAGAGCCAUGGGAGGGAGUCCAGCUAGCAUUACAGUGUGUAGCAGAAACAAUUAACUAGCAGCUUCUUAAAAAACAAUCACUCUUGCAACUGGAUUAAAUAUUUAAAUAAUUUCCAAUAGUUUGGUAACUGCUCCUUUUUUAAAAAGUGCAUUUUUUUUGCAAAUGCUGAAACAAAAACAUUCAUUGUAUACCUUUUCGUAAAUGUGGCACUCCUGUUUUGCCGGUGUGCUCUGUUCUCAUUUCUUUGCAAAAGACAGAACAGCAAAAUAUCCUAUAUACAGUUGUAUGCAAAAGUUUGAACACCCCUGGUCAUGCUGUUAAUUAUCUAAGUGAAAAUACAUUAAAAUAUCCCCUACA